GACGAACGCUGGCGGCGUGCCUAAUACAUGCAAGUCGAACGCACGAAGUUGAAGAGCUUGCUCUUUAACCAAGUGAGUGGCGGACGGGUGAGUAACACGUGGGUAACCUGCCCAUUAGAGGGGGAUAACAUUCGGAAACGGAUGCCAAUACCGCAUAGUUUCAGGAAUCGCAUGAUUCUUGAAGGAAAGGUGGCUUCGGCUACCACUAAUGGAUGGACCCGCGGCGUAUUAGCUAGUUGGUGAGGUAAUGGCUCACCAAGGCAAUGAUACGUAGCCGACCUGAGAGGGUGAUCGGCCACACUGGGACUGAGACACGGCCCAGACUCCUACGGGAGGCAGCAGUAGGGAAUCUUCCGCAAUGGACGAAAGUCUGACGGAGCAACGCCGCGUGAGUGAAGAAGGUUUUCGGAUCGUAAAACUCUGUUGUUAAAGAAGAACAAGGAUGAGAGUAACUGCUCAUCCCCUGACGGUAUUUAACCAGAAAGCCACGGCUAACUACGUGCCAGCAGCCGCGGUAAUACGUAGGUGGCAAGCGUUGUCCGGAUUUAUUGGGCGUAAAGCGAGCGCAGGCGGUUCUUUAAGUCUGAUGUGAAAGCCCCCGGCUCAACCGGGGAGGGUCAUUGGAAACUGGAGAACUUGAGUGCAGAAGAGGAGAGUGGGAUUCCACGUGUAGCGGUGAAAUGCGUAGAUAUGUGGAGGAACACCAGUGGCGAAGGCGACUCUCUGGUCUGUAACUGACGCUGAGGCUCGAAAGCGUGGGGAGCAAACAGG
rnacentral:rRNA from 1 species